AAUAUUGGACAAUGGGGGCAACCCUGAUCCAGCCAUGCCGUGCGUGUGAAGAAGGUCUUCGGAUUGUAAAGCACUUUAAGGUGGGAGGAAGGGUUUUAGGCUAAUACCCUUAAGUUUGUACGUUACCAACAGAAGACGCACCGGCUAACUCUGUGCCAGCAGCCGCGGUAAUACGGAGGGUGCAAGCGUUAAUCGGAAUUACUGGGCGUAAAGCGCGCGUAGGUGGUUCAGUAAGAUGGGUGUGAAAUCCCCGGGCUUAACCUGGGAACUGCUUUCAUAACUGCUGAGCUAGAGUACGGUAGAGGGUAGUGGAAUUUCCUGUGUAGCGGUGAAAUGCGUAGAUAUAGGAAGGAACACCAGUGGCGAAGGCGACUACCUGGACUGAUACUGACACUGAGGUGCGAAAGCGUGGGGAGCAAACA
rnacentral:rRNA from 1 species